rnacentral:rRNA from 1 species
CUUCGCCCACCACUAGGACAAACAUAAACCUUUUGUAAUUGCAAUCAGCGUCAGUAACAAAUUAAUAAUUACAACUUUCAACAACGGAUCUCUUGGUUCUGGCAUCGAUGAAGAACGCAGCGAAAUGCGAUAAGUAGUGUGAAUUGCAGAAUUCAGUGAAUCAUCGAAUCUUUGAACGCACAUUGCGCCCUUUGGUAUUCCAAAGGGCAUGCCUGUUCGAGCGUCAUUUGUACCCUCAAGCUUUGCUUGGUGUUGGGCGUCUUGUCUCUAGCUUUGCUGGAGACUCGCCUUAAAGUAAUUGGCAGCCGGCCUACUGGUUUCGGAGCGCAGCACAAGUCGCACUCUCUAUCAGCAAAGGUCUAGCAUCCAUUAAGCCUUUUUUUCAACUUUUGACCUCGGAUCAGGUAGGGAUACCCGCUGAACUUAAGCAUAUCAAUAAGCGGAGGAAAAGAAACCAACAGGGAUUGCCCUAGUAACGGCGAGUGAAGCGGCAACAGCUCAAAUUUGAAAUCUGGCUCUUUUAGAGUCCGAGUUGUAAUUUGCAGAGGGCGCUUUGGCUUUGGCAGCGGUCCAAGUUCCUUGGAACAGGACGUCACAGAGGGUGAGAAUCCCGUACGUGGUCGCUGGCUAUUGCCGUGUAAAGCCCCUUCGACGAGUCGAGUUGUUUGGGAAUGCAGCUCUAAAUGGGAGGUACAUUUCUUCUAAAGCUAAAUAUUGGCCAGAGACCGAUAGCGCACAAGUAGAGUGAUCGAAAGAUGAAAAGCACUUUGGAAAGAGAGUCAAACAGCACGUGAAAUUGUUGAAAGGGAAGCGCUUGCAGCCAGACUUGCUUACAGUUGCUCAUCCGGGUUUCUACCCGGUGCACUCUUCUGUAGGCAGGCCAGCAUCAGUUUGGGCGGUAGGAUAAAGGUCUCUGUCACGUACCUCCUUUCGGGGAGGCCUUAUAGGGGAGACGACAUACUACCAGCCUGGACUGAGGUCCGCGCAUCUGCUAGGAUGCUGGCGUAAUGGCUGUAAGCGGCC